rnacentral:rRNA from 1 species
AUUGAACGCUGGCGGCAGGCCUAACACAUGCAAGUCGAGCGGUAGAGAGAAGCUUGCUUCUCUUGAGAGCGGCGGACGGGUGAGUAAUGCCUAGGAAUCUGCCUGGUAGUGGGGGAUAACGUCCGGAAACGGACGCUAAUACCGCAUACGUCCUACGGGAGAAAGUGGGGGCUCUUCGGACCUCACGCUAUCAGAUGAGCCUAGGUCGGAUUAGCUAGUUGGUGGGGUAAAGGCUCACCAGGGCGACGAUCCUUAACUGGUCUGAGAGGAUGAUCAGUCACACUGGAACUGAGACACGGUCCAGACUCCUACGGGAGGCAGCAGUGGGGAAUAUUGGACAAUGGGCGAAAGCCUGAUCCAGCCAUGCCGCGUGUGUGAAGAAGGUCUUCGGAUUGUAAAGCACUUUAAGUUGGGAGGAAGGGUCGUUACCUAAUACGUGGCGAUUUUGACGUUACCGACAGAAUAAGCACCGGCUAACUCUGUGCCAGCCGCCGCCGUAAAAC